GGGAAUCUACCGAUGCCCUGCGGAAUAGCUCCGGGAAACUGGAAUUAAUACCGCAUACGCCCUACGGGGGAAAGAUUUAUCGGGGUAUGAUGAGCCCGCGUUGGAUUAGCUAGUUGGUGGGGUAAAGGCCUACCAAGGCGACGAUCCAUAGCUGGUCUGAGAGGAUGAUCAGCCACAUUGGGACUGAGACACGGCCCAAACUCCUACGGGAGGCAGCAGUGGGGAAUAUUGGACAAUGGGCGCAAGCCUGAUCCAGCCAUGCCGCGUGAGUGAUGAAGGCCUUAGGGUUGUAAAGCUCUUUCACCGGAGAAGAUAAUGACGGUAUCCGGAGAAGAAGCCCCGGCUAACUUCGUGCCAGCAGCCGCGGUAAUACGAAGGGGGCUAGCGUUGUUCGGAAUUACUGGGCGUAAAGCGCACGUAGGCGGAUAUUUAAGUCAGGGGUGAAAUCCCAGAGCUCAACUCUGGAACUGCCUUUGAUACUGGGUAUCUUGAGUAUGGAAGAGGUAAGUGGAAUUGCGAGU
rnacentral:rRNA from 1 species